rnacentral:tRNA from 2 species
GGACGGGUGGCCGAGUGGCUGAAGGCGCUGGUUUGCUAAACCGGUUUACGGGGUAUUACUCCGUAACGCGGGUUCGAAUCCCGCCCCGUCCU